rnacentral:rRNA from 1 species
GUAACCGCCUUGGAGGGUGACCGCCACCAUGGGACUGAACCCGGCCCAGAUUCUACGGGAGGCAGCAGUGGGAAUUUGCCCAAUGGGCGAAACCUGAUGCAAGGAACUCGCGUGAGGGAUGACGCCUUCGGGUUGUAACCUCUUUCAGCCCGGAAGAAGCGAAAGUGACGGUACGUGCAGAAGAAGCGCCGGCUAAUUACGUGCCAGCAGCCGCGGUAAUACGUAGGGCGCAAGCGUUGUCCGGAAUUAUUGGGCGUAAAGAGCUCGUAGGCGGUUUGUCGCGUCUGCUGUGAAAGCCCGGGGCUUAACCCCGGGUGUGCAGUGGGUACGGGCAGACUUGAGUGCAGUAGGGGAGACUGGAAUUCCUGGUGUAGCGGUGAAAUGCGCAGAUAUCAGGAGGAACACCGAUGGCGAAGGCAGGUCUCUGGGCUGUUACUGACGCUGAGGAGCGAAAGCAUGGGGAGCGAACAGGAUUAGAUACCCUGGUAGUCCAUGCCGUAAACGUUGGGCACUAGGUGUGGGGAACAUUCCACGUUUUCCGCGCCGUAGCUAACGCAUUAAGUGCCCCGCCUGGGGAGUACGGCCGCAAGGCUAAAACUCAAAGGAAUUGACGGGGGCCCGCACAAGCGGCGGAGCAUGCGGAUUAAUUCGAUGCAACGCGAAGAACCUUACCAAGGCUUGACAUACACCGGACCGGGCCAGAGAUGGUCUUUCCCCCUUGUGGGGCUGGUGUACAGGUGGUGCAUGGUUGUCGUCAGCUCGUGUCGUGAGAUGUUGGGUUAAGUCCCGCAACGAGCGCAACCCUCGUUCUAUGUUGCCAGCACGUGAUGGUGGGGACUCAUAGGAGACUGCCGGGGUCAACUCGGAGGAAGGUGGGGAUGACGUCAAAUCAUCAUGCCCCUUAUGUCUUGGGCUUCACGCAUGCUACAAUGGCCAGUACAAUGGGUUGCGAUGCCGCGAGGUGGAGCUAAUCCCAAAAAGCUGGUCUCAGUUCGGAUCGUGGUCUGCAACUCGACCACGUGAAGUCGGAGUCGCUAGUAAUCGCAGAUCAGCAACGCUGCGGUGAAUACGUUCCCGGGCCUUGUACACACCGCCCGUCAAGUCACGAAAGUUGGUAACACCCGAAGCCGCUGGCCUCACCCAGGUGUAACAACCGUGCCACCUAGUGG